AUGUGAACAUCAUCUUCUUCAACCUGCAGCACAUCUGUAGUUGCAGGAGGGGUUGGUGUUGGAGCGUUGAGGAACACUCGAAAACAGAAACAGGAGGAGUUGGUGUUGGAGCCUUCAGCACUGCAGAUCAGAAAGUUUACGAUCCUCGGACAGACCAUUAUAUGUCGCACAUCUGUAUCUUCAGGAGGGGCUGGUGUUGGAGCCUGUUUCCUUAUCGCUUUAGGAUACUGAGAACAGACCUGCUAUGUGAACGCCACACUACAGUACCUCUUUAACCUGCAACACCAGCGGCAGGAGCGGUUGGUGUUGGAGCCUUCAGCCCUGCAGAUCAGGUGCAGGAGGGGUUGGUGUUGGAGCCUUCAGCCCUGCAGAUCAGGUAGGUAUCAUUAACACUAACACACACACACACACACACACUCUUCGUCACUCACUGGUUGUACAUGUAUGCCAUUUAACUUGUUUUCCUUAUCAAUAACACACACACGAACUCCAUCAUUCAAUGGUUGUUCAUGUGACAUAACUCUUAUUUCCUAAUCCCUCUAAGUUACUGAGGAGGACAGACCUGCUAUGUGAACAUCAUCUUCAACCUGCAGCACAUCUAUAGUUGCAGGAGGUAGUUGGUGUUGAAGCCUUCAGGAACACAGGAACACUCGGGAAUUCACAGGGGAGCUGGACAAAGGGUUUCUGUUGAAAUAGAAUGUUUAUACAAAAUAAAAUAGAACUAUUCAGAGACAACAUUCUCGUCACAAACGUUCCCCACUCUUUCCCGAAUUUAAACACACCUCUGUAUCAAACAGCAGGAGGAGUUGGUGUUGGAGCCUUCAGCCCUACAGAUCAGGUAACUGAGGACAGACCUGCUAUGUGAACAACACGCUGCAGUGCUUCUUUGACCUGCAACACAUCUGUAGGUGCAGGAGGGGUUGGUGUUGGAGCCUUCAGCCCUGCAGAUCAGGUAGGUAUCAUUAACACUAACACACACACACACACACACACUCUUCGUCACUCACUGGUUGUACAUGUAUGCCAUUUAACUUGUUUUCCUUAUCAAUAACACACACACGAACUCCAUCAUUCAAUGGUUGUUCAUGUGACAUAACUCUUAUUUCCUAAUCCCUCUAAGUUACUGAGGAGGACAGACCUGCUAUGUGAACAUCAUCUUCAACCUGCAGCACAUCUAUAGUUGCAGGAGGUAGUUGGUGUUGAAGCCUUCAGGAACACAGGAACACUCGGGAAUUCACAGGGGAGCUGGACAAAGGGUUUCUGUUGAAAUAGAAUGUUUAUACAAAAUAAAAUAGAACUAUUCAGAGACAACAUUCUCGUCACAAACGUUCCCCACUCUUUCCCGAAUUUAAACACACCUCUGUAUCAAACAGCAGGAGGAGUUGGUGUUGGAGCCUUCAGCCCUACAGAUCAGGUAACUGAGGACAGACCUGCUAUGUGAACAACACGCUGCAGUGCAUCUUUGAACUGCAACACAUCUGUAGCAGGAGGGGUUGGUGUUGGAGUCAUGAACAAUUUGUUCCGGCUUGCGAAACGGAUAAGGAGUACAGAGAGGGGUGUACCGAGUCGACCAAAAUAGCCAUCAAAAAGGCAGCGAAGAGCUACUGUCUUCAAGGCAAGCAGAUCAGGUUACUGAGGACAGACCUGCUAUGUGAACA